rnacentral:rRNA from 1 species
UACGUAGGGUGCAAGCGUUACUCGGAAUCAUUGGGCGUAAAGCGCAUGUAGGUGGCUAUGUAAGUCUGAUGUGAAAGCCCUGGACUCAAUCCAGGAAGUGCAUUGGAUACUGCAUGGCUAGAGUACAGGAGAGGUGGAUGGAAUUCCUGGUGUAGAGGUGAAAUUCGUAGAUAUCAGGAGGAACAACAGAGGCGAAGGCGAUUCACUGGACUGUCACUGACACUCAGAUGCGAAAGUGUGGGGAGCAAACAGG